rnacentral:rRNA from 1 species
AUUGAACGCUGGCGGCAGGCCUAACACAUGCAAGUCGAACGGUAACAGGAAGAAGCUUGCUUCUUUGCUGACGAGUGGCGGACGGGUGAGUAAUGUCUGGGAAACUGCCUGAUGGAGGGGGAUAACUACUGGAAACGGUAGCUAAUACCGCAUAACGUCGCAAGACCAAAAAGGGGGACCUUCGGGCCUCUUCCCUUCGGUUUUGCCCAGAUGGGAUUAGCUAGUAGGUGGGGUAACGGCUCACCUAGGCGACGAUCCCUAGCUGGUCUGAGAGGAUGACCAGCCACACUGGAACUGAGACACGGUCCAGACUCCUACGGGAGGCAGCAGUGGGGAAUAUUGCACAAUGGGCGCAAGCCUGAUGCAGCCAUGCCGCGUGUAUGAAGAAGGCCUUCGGGUUGUAAAGUACUUUCAGCGGGGAGGAAGGGAGUAAAGUUAAUACCUUUGCUCAUUGACGUUACCCGCAGAAGAAGCACCGGCUAACUCCGUG